CGGUGGCUCUCCCUAUGCCAGAAAUUAUUCUAGUUGGCCAGAUGAUCCUGAAGCUUACAUAAAGUCUAGUUGUUAAUCAGAACUGCAGGGCUGGUAUCUUGGUUCCCUUCCUACUGUAGGAUUUGUCAUUCGUGGUGGCUGUGCCCUCUGCCUCUAGGAGCACCCAAUGUUCAGCUUAGGGUCGGACAGGCCCUUUGGUCACUUCUGGGCAGGUCAGAUGCUAUUACUCUUCCCACCAAGAAGGCAAAACAAAAUUGUGCGAGCUUAUCUUAACCCCACGCCAACGACCAGACGCUACUGCAGGUUGAAAGAAAGAGCUCCUCGUCAUCCUACUGUCUGAGCAGCCUAGGUUUCAAACCAAGUCUUUGCACCUAGCCAGGGAGCCAGGUCUCUAGCCACGGCUGCCGGAGGGGGUGAGUGGAUCAAAGAGUGGACCUCUGGGCGACAGUGCCCCAGGAGGUCAUGGAGAGCCUUGACGCACUGCAGCGCUCUCCUGGAAGCCUCCCGACACCUUCACACCACGGGCCUUUCUCGGGAGUUCGUGCUUCUGCCCGCCGCAGAACCGGUUUCUCAGCCUGGCUUGGAGGGGUAAGAGGAAUAGAUACAGCAGCAGUCUCCUGUCGUGGCCACUCUCCCCUUGCUCCCUCCUGCGCACCACCUUUUCACCAGAGUGGCUCUCCAGUCUAGCCAGCCUGCGGGGCUCCUAGCUUUGGCUUCCAGUAAAGCGCCAGCAGCCGUGACUCGGACACUUGGUGCUGAAACUAGAUCUUUCACCAAGGCUGGAGGCGAGGCGCCAGCCUAGAGCCAGAGGUGGCUGCCGCCCACGGUCCCCAGAACGUGGAGGGCAUCCUGGACCCCCAUCCCCCAGCUGACACAACCCUCCCCUUGGCCACCUUCAGGACCUCACCAGGAAUGUUAGAACACUCAACACGUAGUGAGAAGGCAAGGAGCAAAGCCACGGUGUGCUGUAAAGAAAAUACUCUUUCAUCCGAGGAGCCACAGGUGUGGAGCGUUGAAACGCUUUGAAGAAGUGUGUUGCUAAUAGCCCAUAUAUAAUUGCAGAGAAGUCUUCAAUGGAAGCCCUUCGUGAGAUAAAUGGACAGUCUAGGCAAGUUGACAUGUUGGAGAGUCUGACAAGUUUAACAACUUUAGCAGAGAUGUGU
ensembl:lncRNA